rnacentral:misc_RNA from 1 species
UCCGGUUUGUCACCGGCAGUCCCAUUAGAGUGCCCAACUGAAUGUGGCAACUAAUGGCAAGGGUUGCGCUCGUUGCGGGACUUAACCCAACAUCUCACGACACGAGCUGACGACAGCCAUGCAGCACCUUGCACUCCGUCAAGUUUUACCUUGGAGGCCCUAUCUCUAGGGUUGUCAGAGGCAUUCUAGCCCAGGUAAGGUUCUUCGCGUUGCGUCGAAUUAAUCCACAUCAUCCACCGCUUGUGCGGGUCCCCGUCAAUUCCUUUGAGUUUUAAUCUUGCGACCGUACUCCCCAGGCGGUCAACUUCACGCGUUAGCUGCGGUACUGAGAAAUCGCUUCCCCAACACCUAGUUGACAUCGUUUAGGGCGUGGACUAC